AAUCUUGCGCAAUGGAGGGAACUCUGACGCAGCGACGCCGCGUGAACGAUGAAGGUCNNNGGAUCNUCAAGUUCUGUCCUCAGNGACNAAGGUCACUUAACGUGACUUGACGGUACCUGUGGAGGAAGCCCCGGCUAACUACGUGCCAGCAGCCGCGGUAAUACGUAGGUGGCAAGCGUUGUCCGGAUUUAUUGGGCGUAAAGCGCGCGCAGGCGGUCUUUUAAGUCUGAUGUGAAAUCUUACAGCUUAACUGUAAGCGGUCAUUGGAAACUGGGAGACUUGAGUGCAGAAGAGGAGAGUGGAAUUCCACGUGUAGCGGUGAAAUGCGUAGAGAUAUGGAGGAACACCAGUGGCGAAGGCGACUCUCUGGUCUGUAACUGACGCUGAGGCGCGAAAGCGUGGGGAUCAAACA
rnacentral:rRNA from 1 species